CACCAUCUUGCCAGGCUAUUUUUUGUAUUAUUUGUAGAGAUGGGGUUUUGCCAUGUUGGCCAGGCUGGUCUUGAAUUCCUGGCCUCGUGUGAUCUGACCUCCUCUGCUUCCAAAAGCGCUGGAACUAUAAGCAUGAGCCACUGCGCUGCCCUUUUAUUUUUGUUAGGAAAGCUAGCAACGUGACACUGGUUUUUGUUACUUGUUUGAGCUACCCACCACACACCAACUCUUAAUUUCCCUCCUUCCCCCAGUUCCUUUGUGUCUGUGAAUUUCUCAGAUCCUGCUGCUACUUUCAUGUAAAUUAAUGUCUUUUUUAAGGAUGUUGAAAUCAUUAUUUAGAAGUAAAUAUUGAACAAACUGUGCUCCUGAUAGAGUGAUAUUUCUUGACCCUUGAAUAUAAUUAAAAGCAGAUCUUCACCGUCACUAUUUACCCAUUUUCACUUGAGUAAAGAAAGUGUAGGUGAUUUGUUUGGUUUGGCUGUCUCUGUUACCGAUCACAGGCUCUUUCGCUUCCCAUGUAAUGGAAAUUAACACGGAGCCAAGCAGAUUUCCCAGACAAGGUUUUUAAAUCGGGGCUUGUGGUCAAGCUCAAGGGAGACAGUGGAGGUGAGGCACGGGAUCCUCUGACUGACUCUGCAGGGGGCAGCAGAGGGGAAGCUGGUAGGGAUUGUUUUUUUUAGGCAAAGCACAGGAAAUAUCAUCUGGGCCAAAGUAUACAGGCUGGGCCAGACAAAGCACAAAAGAGGGCUAGGGUAUGCAGGUCAGCAUAUCUAGUUGUAAUAGUUAUCUUGAGUGAUGGGCUACUUGGUCUGGCCAGCAGCAACAAGGCUAUAAAUCAACUGUUCGUCAUUUGCUAUACAGGGUAAGACACUCCACAAUUCUGGUUUCAUGUUAAAUCUCCUAAGGCCAGUUUCUAGAAUUCUCUAAGUAAAAGAUGUGUUUACACAUUAUGAGAGCACAAUGGCUGUUUUCUUUGGGUGAAUAAAUCCUCAGGGUUAGCAAUGAGGUAUAGGUGUGGAUUUUGUGAAGAAAAGAAGAAAAAAAUAUGUGAAGGAGAAGCUGCAUGCCACUCCUCUUCUGCAUCAUCUCUAAGUAACUCCCAAUGUCAUACUGCAUUCUUGCUCCGCUACGCUUAUGAGUAGACUGUAUUUGAACACAUUCUUCUGGGGAAGGUGUACUAAAGCAGGUGUUUGAGAAAUUCCAUGCAAUAUUGGAACAUUGUAGAGAAAAUGCUGGUCCAUGCUGUCAUUCCUGGCAAGCUUAGUGUAAUAUCCUUUUCAGAAUCCAGGAAAAAGAAAAAUCUAUGCAAUAAUGACAGGAAUUGAGAGAGA